rfam:Anaerococcus prevotii ACS-065-V-Col13 contig00046, whole genome shotgun sequence.
AUGCACUAGACGGGGAACUAGCGGUGCCUUGUAACCUGCAAUCCGCUACAGCAGGGUUUAAGUCCCAAGUUAGGGCCUAAGUUUUUUAUUAAGACUUACAAUAUCGGUGUUGAUUGUUGGGUCUUACGCAACAGAAAGCUGUGAAUCAUGUCAGGACGGGAACGUAGCAGCAUUAAGCAGUACUUUCUGUGUGCCGUAAGGUCACCUAACAUGAGUCGUUGUUCUAAGACACUUUUAAAAGACUUAUGUUCGACCUUGGGUGUGCUU